rnacentral:rRNA from 1 species
UAGAAGCAGCCAUCGUUUAAAGAGUGCGUACAGCUCACUUGUCGAGUNUUUUGCGCCGAAGAAGUAACGGGGCUAAGCAUAUUACCGAAUUUAUGGAUUAUUAUUCGUAAGAAUGAUAGUGGUAGACGAGCGUUGUAUAUGGGAUGAAGUCAAACCGUGAGGAUUGGUGGACUGUAUACAAGUGAGAAUGCCGGUGUAAGUAACGCUUGAGAGUGAGAAUCUCUCAAACCGAUUGACUAAGGUUUCCUGGACGAGGGUCGUCCUUCCAGGGUUAGUCUGGACCUAAGGCGAGGCAGAAAUGCGUAGUCGAUGGAAGAACAGGUUAAUAUUCCUGUACAAACAAAUAGCUGAUGGAGUGACGGAGAAGGUUAAUGCAUCCCCAUUAUCGGAUUUGGGGUUAAAUAAGAAGUCUUAAGGGUUGGCAAAUCCGCCCUUUUUAAGGACAACUUAUGAAUACGAGUGAACGCUUUGCAAGUAGCGAAGAUGCAUACAUCACGCUUCCAAGAAAAGCUUCUAGGGUUAACUA